GUUCUUACGGUGUAAAUAUGCACAUUAGAUUUUCAUUCUAAAGGGGUGGGAUAGUAAGACCCACUAAGAAUA
rnacentral:tRNA from 1 species